rnacentral:lncRNA from 1 species
UGGGUGUCUUCCCUCUCUGGGGUGUGCUGCACUUGGGGGUUCUCCCAGCUCCCUCACCUGGCUCUGGGGUUCCUGAUUUUGUGGCCUGUGAAGUCUUGAUGGUUGCUGCUGUGGAGAUCUCUGGGCUCUGUGAGGCUGUUGGUUUUGGGGUCUUUCCCUCUGGCCCCCCUCGCAUUCCAGCUCCUUCUGUUCACAUGAUUCAUAGGCUGCCUGGACCCCUGGGACAAUGGCCAGCUCCUGGACAUCACCCUGCAAAGACAUGAGAGAGAUGGAGCGGAGAGAUUCAGAGAGAGGCAGAGGGUAUCAUCCGGGAGAAAGAGUAUAGGAGGCCAAUCCUAGAAUACGGGCACCAAAGAUGAUCACUCCAUGGGUGUCCAAUACUGGACGAGCACUUCGGGGGAGAGGCCGGGUGACUCGCUUCUUGCAGUCAACAAUGAGGGUGACAGACUGGCCCUUCACAGCCACAGCCACACGGUGCCACCUGGAAAUGGUGGAAGAGGUUCAAGUGAACUCUUGGCUGACUGAAGUAGGGGAGUCAACAUGGUUGGAGAGCAGUGAUAAGAGUUGAAGCCAAUGGUGAUAAGAGCAGUAA